UACGGAGGGUGCAAGCGUUAUCCGGAUUUACUGGGUUUAAAGGGUGCGUAGGUGGGUAGGUAAGUCAGUGGUGAAAUCUUCGAGCUUAACUCGGAAACUGCCAUUGAUACUAUUUAUCUUGAAUACUCUGGAGGUAAGCGGAAUAUGUCAUGUAGCGGUGAAAUGCUUAGAUAUGACACAGAACACCGAUUGCGAAGGCAGCUCACUAAACUGUAACUGACGCUGAGGCACGAAAGCGUGGGGAGCAAACAGG
rnacentral:rRNA from 1 species